CGGCGGCAGCGCGGGCUGGGGCUGCUCCCGGGAGCCCCGCGCCGGCCCCGCACCGGGCUCCGCAACCACGUGAAAUCUUGGCUUUGGUGAGGGAAAGAAGAAGGAACUCCCAGUGUUGGGCAGCCUUCCCUGCUGGUGGAUCCUCCCCGUGGCUCAUGACUUCCAGGAGAAGGCUGGAUGCUUUUUUUUUUUGUGUGUGGUCAUGCUGAGCCAGCCCAUCCAGCUGAACUUUGCUGCCCCAGUUUCCUGGAUGAAGUAACAACCCUGCAAUUCUGCUUGAUUUAUUAUUUUUUUUCUUCCCUGCUGUUCUAAGUUGGUGUCCCAAGUAACAUCCACGUGGUUUAACAUCUGAGCCACUCCCUCCACCUCCUGGUGUUUCAGCUGAUGUCAGCCUGGGUCUCCUGACUGGAGAAAUGCUUUGGAAGAGAACUUGUUACAGCCACUUCCCUUCUGGACUUAACAUCUUCACUGCUUGGUGUCCUGGCACCCUGGCCAAAUCCUGGGUGUUCAGGCUUUGCUGUUUCAGCUUCAGUCCCUAUCUGGGGAUUUUCAGCCCAUGCAGUUGUGAGAGUAAGUGUCUUGGCCACAGCAGGUGUGAGGAAGCCCCCUCUGCUUCCAGAGAAGGUGGCCACCAGCUCUCAAGGAUCUGGUGUGGUGGUAUUUGAAGCAAUUUGCUUCUGUCUCCCCUCUCUUCUGCUGCCUGUUGCUAUGGAGCUUGGCCAGCACCUUCAUCCACCUCAGCAUGAAGGCCCAACCUGGAUGCUUGAGCUCAUCCAGCAACCUCCUGUCCUCCCACCCUGCACCCGAUUCUGGAGCUCGUCAGAUCCAUCUGUUGGCAAAGCCCAUCCUGGAAACUGGCCAAAAAAUGCUUCACCUCAAAUCCUGGGGUUCAUGAGCUGAGCUGGCCUGGAGAGGCCCUGAUGAACAGUGAAGGUUGUGGGAGGGGAGCAGGGGUUACUGGAAACAGGGAAAAAAGGUAAAUGAGGUGUGUGUGGUGGCUUUUAGAAGUACCCAAGAACAUCAAAGGCAGGGAGUCCAGCCUGAGCUACAGGAGUUUCAGGCAGAAAUCUUUUUUAUUUCUUUUUAUUUGUUGGACUGGAAAGUCCCUGAUUUGACUGGUUUCAGUCUUGGUCAUCAUUGCAUAUUUAGACAGGUUUUGGGCAGUGUGGCCAUGCAUGACUGAGCAGGCCUACUCAUCACAUGGAGCAACUGAGGGGAGGAACUGAUCCCUCGGCCCAAACAGAACAUUCCUCUGGCUGUCUUAAACCUGUCAUGGAGCUGCCUGGAUCCUAAGAAAGUCCAAGAUCCCUGCAGAUGAGCCUGGUACUGACAGCUUUUAAGUGGGAAUAUCUUUCCACCACACUGACCAACACCACGGGGCAACACGAGCUGGUGGCCACAGUCCAAGAGGCUGGAGGUCUAACCAGGGUUGGAUGAUUCCACCCAGUCUGUGGAACAUCUGCCAACGGAGCUGGUGCUGUGGUCUGAAACAGCCAGAUGUGAUUGCUAAGGACCGUGAGGACUUCUCUCCAGCAGCACUUGCUGCCCUUCCCUCUUAUCUCUCAGGCAGCCCGUUCUCCAACUGGUUUCUUGGUUGCUGAAGUGUUGCUAUCUGUGGGCAGGUUCCAACAUCUGCUGAGCUGAAGAUGACACCUUAGACAUGGUCCUCAUAUCCGACCCUGUUAGUACCAAGGUCAGGUCUUGCCCCAGCAGAGCCUGCUGACUGUUCCCCCCAUUUUAUUUCUCUCCCUGCCCAGUCUCGUUGCUUUUGUUUGGUUUGCCCCCCCCGCCUACCCCCCCCUGACAAAUUCUGUGGUGGAAGAAGUUUGAGACCCAUGUUCUCAGGUUUUGAGGUGCUUUUUCUUUUCUUCCCAGGUUUUCCCAGCAGGUGGGAUGGGAGCAGUUACAGCUCAGGGAAAGCAGCAGUGGGUCAGUCCCCCACCAGCUGGUCCUGGCUUGUGGAAGGACCUGUGUCCAGCUCAUCCAGAGGCUGUGGCUUCACCUCAGCUUGAGGAACCUCAUGGGUGUUCUCCAUGUCCCUUUCCAGCAUGGCAGGAACCAGCUCUUCCUGCAGACUCCCAGGAAACUCCCUCUGCUUUCCACCUGACCUCACCAAACCUCUGCCUCACCUCACCAGAGAAAAUCCCUCCAGUUCUUUUAAGCCAAACUGAGCUGACCUCAUCUCUUCACUCCCUCUAAAUAAGCCAUGAAAUAAGUUCCUGGAGUAACCUGCUCAACAAGAGCCAUCAGCACAUCCUGCCUGACAGAGGUGGGGGACAAGGUGCUUGUUAUUGUGGUGGAGUUGAUGCUUUAUUGGGCUAUUCCUUAAGCUGGUGCAUGUUCCUUAAGCUGGUGUUUAACUGUCAGUUCCCUGCAAAAGCUUCUUUCUUCUCAUCAUGCUCCAAAGCAUUUGCCUGCCUGCCCCUUCCUGGGUGGCUCAAGAGAAAAACAAAGUGUCUGUUCAAAUCUGAUGCUGCACAAACUGCCAGAAUUGCACCUGGGAUGAAACCCCACCUUUAAAAAUAAUAAAAAAAAGGACAUUUUUCCUGGU